AGCUUUGUACAGUGGCAGUAUCAUAGCCAAUGAGGUUUAUCCAAGGCGUGAUUAUUGCUAAUUGAAAAAUAACCUAGUAAUACAAAUGAAAUGAAUUAGCAUGUAUAUUAAAAUAUUUUUGAAACAACAAAAUAUGUA
ensembl:snRNA U4 U4 spliceosomal RNA